CCGAUCCGUGAGGAGCGGGUGCCGUACAAAUGUGUUUAUAAUUCACAGCGUGUCGAACUAUUUGUGUUCUGUGGGAUCAGAAUGUCCUGAGCUGGAACGGGAGCGGACCUUCAGGAAUCAUCCACUGCGACCCCGUUGCCGCGACAGAUCUGAUGGAGCGUUUUAAGGGAUGGAUGCUGCUCUUUGCAGAGUUCCUCAUGAGACCGUGGCAAACCUCCCUGCAAUCAUCUCUCCAAUUUGUGGCUGUUCCCGUGACAAGGACACCUUUCAGUCCUCGUUCUGGAGUGACACUGCACAGUGACACACCAGCUGCAGGAAGGGAUUUACCACAAAUCAUUGCUAGAAAAUCACAUAAAAAUCAAGACAAAAGAAGUACGAGCGAGACCUGAACUCUUCUUAUGGUUUUACACGCAGCCAUUCCCUUUUAAGAGCAGGGUAUUUAGUAGGAAGCAUAAAUUCCAGGCUCAGAGUCGUGCAGUGUCUAGACUCCAGCUCGUGGGAUCUGUCUCCGUGGGGCCGUAUUUCUCACCGUGAUAUUUUUCAGGACACCUCUGCUUCGUCCCAGAGAUUUCAGGGACGUGGAAGCUCCCGGCUCCUCGUACCAGUGGCAGCUGGGAGGCUGCUGGAGUUCCUUGGUGAUUGUUUGUAUGGAUGGGAGCUCAACUGAGCUGCAGAACACAGGGGGGAAAAAGCCUGGUUGGAAGGAACGGGGACUUUUGGCCCCCAGCUGUGCCAGAACAGGCUCAUCACGGAGAGAUCCCCAGCUGCACUUCCAGGCUGUAAAUUAAACAAACAGUGUUUCCUCUAGACCAGACCACAGGGAUGGCAGAGAGAACAAUGUGGCCUUAUUGCUGUUAUUUCCUUUGGUUUCAAUCUCUGUCCUCUGCCCCCACCUCCUCCCCAGACCUGUGGUGCCCACUUUACCCGAUUUGCCAUUUAUUACACUGCUUUAAAGAGAGGCAGGGGGAAAAAGGCUCAGUGCAAAUUAUAUUUUGAGCUGUUGUGCUUUGCCUCUUUGGUGGAUAAUAAAUCUCUCUGGCAAUGCUCCUCUGUAUAGGAUUUGUCAUUAAAUGCAAUUAAACAAACCCUGCAGGUGUCCAUGAUCAGGCCUGCAGCAGCCCAUUCACAACUGCAAUGUUAUUAUCAGCCUGACAACAAAACACCAGAUAUUUCCUGAGCUCCUCUGAUCGAUGAGCUCGCCUGACUUGGAACUGGGAGGGAGGAGAAAAGGGGCUUCAGAGCCCUUCAGAUGCUCUUUAGACUUAUUGAUGGAAAAGUCAAAAAGCUGCUCGGCAAUCAGAGGGAAGGUGGAGAGAGAGAGAAAGGCAGAGGGACGGGAGGGCUGAGAGGGAAAAAUGAGAGAGGAGUGUUUGGGAGUAAAAAGGUAGAAAUGAGGCAAGAUAUCACAUGGGACCCACCUGCCCAAUGAGCUGGCUAAUGCACAAGACUAGGAUUUAGGAGGCAAGGAGGGUAUUUUAGGGAUGAUUCUUUGGCAGUUGGGCUUUUAGUGUUGAGUCAUGCAGGCUCCCUCUGCAGUCAGCACAAAUAUAUUCCUCUCAUCCUAAGGCAGGACUGGCAGGUUGACCUGUUGUCCAGGGAUGUUUGCCAGCCUUCAUAAAUUGUAGCCAAAGGGUUGGAUCAGACACACAAACAAUUGUAAAUCCCACCUGGAUUUACAAUUCCCAAAGGAAUUGGCUUUUUCAAGGCCGGGUUGGACGGGGCUUGGAGCAACCUGAUCUAGUGGAAGGUGUCCCUGGCCAUGGCAGGGGGGUGGAAUGAA